rnacentral:rRNA from 1 species
GACGAACGCUGGCGGCGUGCCUAAUACAUGCAAGUAGAACGCUGAAGGAGGAGCUUGCUCUUCUGGAUGAGUUGCGAACGGGUGAGUAACGCGUAGGUAACCUGCCUGGUAGCGGGGGAUAACUAUUGGAAACGAUAGCUAAUACCGCAUAAGAGUAGAUGUUGCAUGACAUUUACUUAAAAGGUGCAAUUGCAUCACUACCUGAUGGACCUGCGUUGUAUUAGCUAGUUGGUGGGGUAACGGCUUACCAAGGCGACGAUACAUAGCCGACCUGAGAGGGUGAUCGGCCACACUGGGACUGGGACACGGCCCAGACUCCUACGGGAGGCAGCAGUAGGGAAUCUUCGGCAAUGGACGGAAGUCUGACCGAGCAACGCCGCGUGAGUGAAGAAGGUUUUCGGAUCGUAAAGCUCUGUUGUAAGAGAAGAACGAGUGUGAGAGUGGAAAGUUCACAUUGUGACGGUAUCUUACCAGAAAGGGACGGCUAACUACGUG